GUUAUAGGGUCAAGCGAAUAAGUGCAUGUGGUGGAUGCCUUGGCGAUCACAGGCGAUGAAGGACGUAGUAGCUUGCGAAAAGCUGCGGGGAGCUGGCAAACGAGCUUUGAUCCGCAGAUGUCCGAAUGGGGAAACCCGGCCCGAAUGGGUCAUCCCUUGCUGAAUACAUAGGCAAGGGAGGCGAACGCAGUGAACUGAAACAUCUAAGUAGCUGCAGGAAAAGAAAUCAACCGAGAUUCCCAAAGUAGUGGCGAGCGAAAUGGGAACAGCCUUGUACUCUUUAGCAGUAUUGUUAGCGGAACGGAAUGGAAAGUCCGGCCAUAGCGGGUGAUAGCCCCGUACGCGAAAACAGUAUUGUGGAACUAGGUGUACGACAAGUAGGGCGGGACACGUGAAAUCCUGUCUGAAGAUGGGGGGACCAUCCUCCAAGGCUAAAUACUCGUGAUCGACCGAUAGUGAACCAGUACCGUGAGGGAAAGGCGAAAAGAACCCCGGGAGGGGAGUGAAAUAGAUCCUGAAACCGCAUGCAUACAAACAGUCGGAGCCUGGAAACGGGUGACGGCGUACCUUUUGUAUAAUGGGUCAGCGACUUACAUUCAGUGGCAAGCUUAACCGAUUAGGGAAGGCGUAGCGAAAGCGAGUCCGAAUAGGGCGUUCAGUCGCUGGGUGUAGACCCGAAACCAAGUGAUCUAUCCAUGGCCAGGUUGAAGGUGCGGUAACACGUACUGGAGGACCGAACCCACUAACGUUGAAAAGUUAGGGGAUGAGCUGUGGAUAGGGGUGAAAGGCUAAACAAACUUGGAAAUAGCUGGUUCUCUCCGAAAACUAUUUAGGUAGUGCCUCGUGUCUCACCUUCGGGGGUAGAGCACUGUCAUGGUUGGGGGGUCUAUUGCUGAUUACCCCGCCAUAGCAAACUCCGAAUACCGAAGAGUGCAAUCACGGGAGACAGACAUCGGGUGCUAACGUCCGGUGUCAAGAGGGAAACAACCCAGACCGCCAGCUAAGGUCCCUAAGAUUGGCUAAGUGGGAAACGAAGUGGGAAGGCUAAAACAGUCAGGAGGUUGGCUUAGAAGCAGCCACCCUUUAAAGAAAGCGUAAUAGCUCACUGAUCGAGUCGUCCUGCGCGGAAGAUGUAACGGGGCUAAGCCAGUCACCGAAGCUGCGGAUGCACGUAAGUGCAUGGUAGGAGAGCGUUCUGUAAGCCUGUGAAGGUGUCUUGUAAAGGAUGCUGGAGGUAUCAGAAGUGCGAAUGCUGACAUGAGUAGCGAUAAAGGGGGUGAAAGGCCCCCUCGCCGUAAGCCCAAGGUUUCCUACGCAACGUUCAUCGGCGUAGGGUGAGUCGGCCCCUAAGGCGAGGCAGAGAUGCGUAGCUGAUGGGAAGCAGGUUAAUAUUCCUGCACCGUCGUAUGAUGCGAUGGGGGGACGGAUCGCGGAAGGUUGUCCGGGUGUUGGAUGUCCCGGUCCCUACAUUGGAGAUGGCACUUAGGCAAAUCCGGGUGCGUGAUUCAAGGGUGUGGGGCGAGCGACUUUAGGUCGCGAAGCAAUUGGAAGUGGUUCCAAGAAAAGCCUCUAAGCUUCAGUCAUACGAGACCGUACCGCAAACCGACACAGGUGGGCGAGAUGAGUAUUCUAAGGCGCUUGAGAGAACUCGGGAGAAGGAACUCGGCAAAUUGGUACCGUAACUUCGGGAUAAGGUACGCCCUUGUAGUUUGACUGGCUCGCGCCAGAAGGAUGAAGGGGUUGCAAUAAAAUGGUGGCUGCGACUGUUUAAUAAAAACACAGCACUCUGCAAACACGAAAGUGGACGUAUAGGGUGUGACGCCUGCCCGGUGCCGGAAGAUUAAAUGAUGGGGUGCAAGCUCUUGAUUGAAGUCCCGGUAAACGGCGGCCGUAACUAUAACGGUCCUAAGGUAGCGAAAUUCCUUGUCGGGUAAGUUCCGACCUGCACGAAUGGCGUAACGAUGGCCACACUGUCUCCUCCCGAGACUCAGCGAAGUUGAAGUGUUUGUGAUGAUGCAAUCUCCCCGCGGCUAGACGGAAAGACCCCAUGAACCUUUACUGUAGCUUUGCAUUGGACUUUGAACCGAUCUGUGUAGGAUAGGUGGGAGGCUUUGAAACCGGGACGCUAGUUUCGGUGGAGCCGACCUUGAAAUACCACCCUGGUUUGUUUGAGGUUCUAACCUUGGCCCGUGAAUCCGGGUCGGGGACAGUGCAUGGUAGGCAGUUUGACUGGGGCGGUCUCCUCCCAAAGUGUAACGGAGGAGUUCGAAGGUACGCUUGGUACGGUCGGACAUCGUACCUAAAGUGCAAUGGCAAAAGCGUGCUUAACUGCGAGACCGACAAGUCGAGCAGGUGCGAAAGCAGGACAUAGUGAUCCGGUGGUUCUGUAUGGAAGGGCCAUCGCUCAACGGAUAAAAGGUACUCUGGGGAUAACAGGCUGAUACCGCCCAAGAGUUCAUAUCGACGGCGGUGUUUGGCACCUCGAUGUCGGCUCAUCUCAUCCUGGGGCUGUAGCCGGUCCCAAGGGUAUGGCUGUUCGCCAUUUAAAGAGGUACGUGAGCUGGGUUUAAAACGUCGUGAGACAGUUUGGUCCCUAUCUGCCGUGGGCGUUGGAAUCUUGACGGGGGCUGCUCCUAGUACGAGAGGACCGGAGUGGACGUACCGCUGGUGUACCUGUUGUCUCGCCAGAGGCAUCGCAGGGUAGCUAUGUACGGAAGAGAUAACCGCUGAAAGCAUCUAAGCGGGAAACUCGCCUGAAGAUGAGGAUUCCCUGGAGACUUGAUCUCCCUGAAGGGUCGUUCGAGACCAGGACGUUGAUAGGCUGGGUGUGGAAGCGCAGUAAUGCGUUCAGCUAACCAGUACUAAUUGCCCGUGCGGCUUGAUCCUAUAACC
rnacentral:rRNA from 1 species